AUGUCUAAGUAUAAAUAGUAUACAGUGAAACUGCGAAUGGCUCAUUAAAACAGUUAUAGUUUAUUUGAUAAUGGAAAGCUACAUGGAUAACCGUGGUAAUUCUAGAGCUAAUACAUGCUGUCAAGCCCAACUUCUCGGAAGGGCUGUAUUUAUUAGAUAUCAAGCCAAUAUUCCUUCGGGUCUAUUGUGGUGAAUCAUAGUAACUGAUCGAAUCCUCAUUUGGAUAAAUCAUUCAAGUUUCUGCCCUAUCAGCUUUCGAUGGUAGUGUAUUGGACUACCAUG
rnacentral:rRNA from 1 species